AUAAGAGUUUGAUCCUGGCUCAGAUUGAACGCUGGCGGCAUGCUUUACACAUGCAAGUCGAACGGCAGCGAGGAGAAGCUUGCUUCUCUGUCGGCGAGUGGCGAACGGGUGAGUAUAGCAUCGGAACGUGCCAAGUAGUGGGGGAUAACCAAACGAAAGUUUGGCUAAUACCGCGUAAGCUCCAAG
rnacentral:rRNA from 1 species